GACGAACGCUGGCGGCGUGCUUAACACAUGCAAGUCGAACGGAAAGGCCCUGCUUUUGUGGGGUGCGCGAGUGGCGAAGGGGUGAGUAGCACUUGAGUUACCUGUACUUGUCGUUGAGAUAAAUUAAGGAAACUUGGGCUCAUAGCGGGUAGGAUCUCUUGCUGCAUGGUGGGGGUUGGAAAGUUUAGGCGGUUGGGGAUGGACUCGCGGCUUAUCAGCUUGUUGGUGGGGUAGUGGCUUACCAUGGCUUUGACGGGUAGCCGGCCUGCGAGGGUGACCGGCCACAUUGGGACUGAGAUACGGCCCAGACUCCUACGGGAGGCAGCAGUGGGGAAUAUUGCACAAUGGGCGGAAGCAUGAUGCAGCAACGCCGCGUGCGGGAUGACGGCCUUCGGGUUGUAAACCGCUUUCGCCUGUGACGAAGCGUGAGUGACGGUAAUGGGUAAAGAAGCACCGGCUAACUACGUG
rnacentral:rRNA from 1 species